UACGUAGGGUGCAAGCGUUUAAUCGGAAUUACUGGGCGUAAAGCGUGCGCAGGCGGUUUUGUAAGACAGGUGUGAAAUCCCCGGGCUUAACCUGGGAACUGCAUUUGUGACUGCAAGGCUGGAGUGCGGCAGAGGGGGAUGGAAUUCCGCGUGUAGCAGUGAAAUGCGUAGAUAUGCGGAGGAACACCGAUGGCGAAGGCAAUCCCCUGGGCCUGCACUGACGCUCAUGCACGAAAGCGUGGGGAUCAAACAGG
rnacentral:rRNA from 1 species